rnacentral:rRNA from 1 species
UACGGGGGGAGCAAGCGUUGUUCGGAUUUACUGGGCGUAAAGGGCGCGUAGGCGGCCACCGCAAGUCAGUUGUGAAAUCUCUGGGCUUAACCCAGAACGGUCAGCUGAUACUGCGGGGAUAGAGUGCAGAAGGGGCAACUGGAAUUCUCGGUGUAGCGGUGAAAUGCGUAGAUAUCGAGAGGAACACCGGCGGCGAAGGCGGGUUGCUGGGCUGACACUGACGCUGACAGCGCGAAAGCUAGGGGAGCGAACGGG